rnacentral:rRNA from 1 species
AUUGAACGCUGGCGGCAUGCUUUACACAUGCAAGUCGAACGGUAACAGGCCGCAAGGUGCUGACGAGUGGCGAACGGGUGAGUAAUGCAUCGGAACGUGCCCAGUCGUGGGGGAUAACGCAGCGAAAGCUGCGCUAAUACCGCAUACGAUCUAUGGAUGAAAGCGGGGGACCGUAAGGCCUCGCGCGAUUGGAGCGGCCGAUGUCAGAUUAGGUAGUUGGUGGGGUAAAGGCUCACCAAGCCAACGAUCUGUAGCUGGUCCGAGAGGACGACCAGCCACACUGGGACAGGGACACGGCCCAGACUCCUACGGGGGGCAGCAGUGGGGAAUUUUGGACAAUGGGCGCAAGCCUGAUCCAGCAAUGCCGCGUGCAGGAAGAAGGCCUUCGGGUUGUAAACUGCUUUUGUACGGAACGAAACGGUCCUGGUUAAUACCUGGGGCUAAUGACGGUACCGUAAGAAUAAGCACCGGCUAACUACGUGCCAGCCGCCGCAGUAA